rnacentral:rRNA from 1 species
GUGGGUAAGUCUGCCCUCGCACUCUGGGAUAAGCCUGGGAAACUGGGUCUAAUACUGGAUAUGACCUUUCUCCUUAUGGGGUUUGGUGGAAAGUUUUUCGGUGUAGGAUGAGCCCGCGGCCUAUCAGCUUGUUGGUGGGGUGAUGGCCUACCAAGGCGACGACGGGUAGCCGGCCUGAGAGGGUGAUCGGCCACAUUGGGACUGAGAUACGGCCCAG